rnacentral:lncRNA from 1 species
GUGGAAAUGAAUCUGACUAGUAUCCAUGAGGAUGCAGUUUCCAUCCCUGACUUUGCUCAGUGGGAUCCAGCAUUGCCAUGAGCUGUGGUGAAGUUUGCAAAUGCUCAGAUCUUGCAUCGCUGUGGCUGGGAACUUCCAUAAUACUGUGGGUACGACCCUUAAAAAAAAAAAAAUGCUUUUUACACGAUCAUGAAUGUUAUAAUAAAGAAAAAAGGAAUAGAAUAAGGAAACAGAAAAACUGUCCAAGUAUAUAACUUUUAGAGAUAAUCACAAAUUUAGAUUUUUAAAUUGCUGUAUUGUCAUCUUAAUUUUCAGUUGAUAAAUGAUAAUGUCUAUCAUUUAUUUAGGCUUAUCCCAAAAGUUAUAUUGCUUUGAUUUCUGGAAGAAUUAAACAUUUCCCCAUAUUUGCUUACUGUUUUUUUAUUUUAUUAUGCAAAUUGUUGAUGAGGUAUGUCUGUCUUCUAGGGUCAUGAUGUUGACUUUCAUGAGCUCUCUUAUGAGUCUCAACCUGUCUUAUUGCUACAUUUUCUCUUGAUUUUCCAUUUUAUUUGUUACAGUACAGAAGUUUUAAAUUUUAUGCAGUUUGUGUUAAUCUUUCUCUGUGUAAUUUCUUCUAUCUAUCUAGAUAGUUUAAUUUCUGUAAAAACCUUGCUAAAAUUUGAAGUUUUAUAUUCUGUUAGCUUUUGAUUUAGUUAUUGAAUUUUUAAAGCAUCUUAGUCUUUAAAAUUCCAUGGUGUUUCUAAAUUAUUCUGAUAUACUUAAAAAUAGUCUUUCAGAGUUCCCUUGUGUCUUAGUAGGUUAAGGAUCCAGCUUGUCACUGCUGUAGCUCAGGUCACUGCUGUGGCGUGGCUUCAGUCCGUGGCCCAGGAAUUUGCACAUGCCACGGGCAUGGCCAAAAAGAGGGGGAAAAAUCUACUACUUAUUAGCAUUUGAUAACUACUAAGUCAAGUAUUGAAUUGCACAUAGUUCUAUUUUCAGACCUUUUAUUCUGUUAUGGCGAACUGUUUUUUCAUUUUUCUUGAAAGAAUGUGUUAUUUCAUUUUCUUGUACUUGCUAUUGAGAAACAAUGUUUGAUUUUUAGCUCCAAGACAAGUAGCCUUUUUAAAAUUCAUUUUCACUAUUUGAAACUUGUAAAAUUCUUGUUUUUUGAAGUUUACCCCGUGUUUCAUAUUAGAGUUGAUAUAGGCUUACCUGUAAAGUGGACACUCUUCUUAUUUAUUUUUUUGUUUAUUUUAGCUUUAGGAAAUUGUUAUGCUUUUAAUAAUUGGUUCUGAUUCAUUAGUUCUGUCUUGGGGAGUGGUGCCUCUUGGUAGGUUAGAUCUGUACAUUGUUUUAUGGCUGAUCUUCCUUUUGUGCAUUAAGUCAGCAUUCUAGAUAUGUGUUACAUAUAUAUUUCCUGUUUCACUAACUUGAUUUUCUGCCUUCUUGAUUUUUUUCCUUUGUUCUGUUAAUGCUAGUUUCUUUGUCUUUUUACAGUUUUCGUUUUGAACUAACUCCUUUUUCCCUCUCUACUCUUGUUAAUAGAUCAAGUGUUCUCUGAAUAUUUCAUGAAGAAAAGUGUGACACCUAUAGGAUCCUAUCAGGUGGAAAAAAGGAGCUUGUAGCCAAGAGAGUUAUUUACUUAUUUUCCAUUUACUUAUUUUUCAGUAAGUUUUGGAGUGAAUAUGACUACAGGAGAUCAGUAUUAACUGGAUUGCCCAUCAGUCAAAGUUAGGAAAGUCUGGUUGGGCUAAGUAGAUCAUUAAUUUGACCUGACGUAUAUUUCUUUUGGUCUUAGAUAUCUAAGCAAUAUAUGUGUUUAUAUAUUUUGAUGUUGCCAGUUGAAAAAAAAAAA